rnacentral:lncRNA from 1 species
ACUUAAAUUAUUGAAAUGUUAUUUGACAUUUUAAACAUACAGAGAUGGAGUAGAUUCUUUAUAAUUUUGUGUGUGUUACUAUUUCCUAUGGUUUGAAUAUGUCCCCCAAAUUUCAUGUGCUGGAAACUUAGUCCUCAAAUUCAUAUGUUGGUGGUAUUUGGAACUGGGGCCUUUGGAAGGUAAUUAGGAUUAGAUAAGGUCACCAUGAGUCCCUCAUGAUGGGAUUGAUAUCUUUAUAAGGAAACGAAGAGAGACCUGCGCUAACAUGCUUUCUCUGUCUCAACAUGUGAUACCCUCUGCCACAUUACGAUACAGCAGGAAGGCUCUCACCAGAUGCAGCUGCCUGAUUUUGGACUUCCCAGCCUCCAGUACUGAAAAGGAUGCUUUCAGCACAGCAGAGCCUUGGAUGCAGAACCCAGGGAGGACUGGCUCUUCGAACAGCAGGUUUUAUUGGUAUUUCCACUAUUGGCCCCCACUGAGGAACCAUAUUAAAAACGUCUUUGGAAGAUGAAAAAGGAGGUAAUUUUUUACAAACACUUUGAGUUGUGAUCUACUUAUAAAGCCAGCUAUAUGAACAAAUGACUGAUCCUGGGAAAUACAUGCAAACGAGCCCCUUCGUUUGUCUCUGACCCCCGUCCUUCCUACUCCCUACAAGGACAGGUUCUUCCAUUUUAAGGCAACGUACAGUAAGGCAGGAGUUAGUUGCCUGAGCUGUCAGUUUCUAG